GAUGAAGAACGUAGCGAAAUGCGAUAAGUAAUGUGAAUUGCAGAAUUCAGUGAAUCAUCGAAUCUUUGAACGCACAUUGCGCCCGCCAGUAUUCUGGCGGGCAUGCCUGUCUGAGCGUCAUUUCAACCCUCAUGCCCCUAGGGCGUGGUGUUGGGGAUCGGCCAAAGCCCGCGAGGGACGGCCGGCCCCUAAAUCUAGUGGCGGACCCGUCGUGGCCUCCUCUGCGAAGUAGUGAUAUUCCGCAUCGGAGAGCGAUGAGCCCCUGCCGUUAAACCCCCAACUUUCCAAGGUUGACCUCAGAUCAGGUAGGAAUACCCGCUGAACUUAAGCAUAUCAAUAGCGGAGGA
rnacentral:misc_RNA from 1 species